rnacentral:lncRNA from 1 species
AAAUCAUUCUUAUCUUCCUUCUCUUUUCAGUUCUGGGUCUAUAGCACACCACUGAUGCUGAUGUCAGAAACAACCUUGUCCCUUCCAUCACAGCAAAGGCAUUUCCUGAGUUAUCCAUUGUAAAUCUGACUCCCCCUGAAGUUAAUCUGUUUACUAGGUCAGCAAGCUAUAAACUAGCAUUGAUACCAACAAAUCUCCGGUCAGCCUUCUCAGUCUCUUCCCAGGUAGGACUUUUAAAGUAACAUGACUGUAGCAUCAGAAGUGUUAGGAAUUUCAAAUGGAAUCCUCAUUUAUUGCAGAUAAG